rnacentral:lncRNA from 1 species
CGGUACCCAGCACAGUGCGGCCUUGCUCACCGCCACGCAGAGCUUCCCAAGAGGCCCCGCCCCCCGGCACCCCAGGCCGCGCACGCCCGUGCUGAGGGGCACAGCUGACCCGCGUCCCCGCUCCUGCUGGCCGUGUGGGCGUCACCAGGCAGGUGGAAGUCCGCACUUCCUGCGGCGACUCCCGGGGGCCUCACCCUCCACCCCCGGCCUGGCGCCGGCUGCACCCCGCUCUCAGCCACCUGGCAGCAGGACACGGGCCCAACGGCCAGGGCACGGAGUGCGGGCGCCGGCCACACUUGCUCAAACUUACUUUUUUUCUUCUUGAAGUUUUUCCUUUUCCUAAACUUCAUGUUGAUUUUUGGCCACGACUCUGUCUUUUCAAUGACCGUGGCUUCCACUCGGACGAGGUCCUUUCUAGAAGAAAACACACACUGACGGAUCCCGCGGACGGCCCCUCCGUCCACACACUGGCGGAUCCGGGGACGGCCCCUCCGUCCACACUGGCGGAUCCGGGGGACAGCCCCUCCGUCCACACUGGCGGAUCCGGGGACGGCCCCUCCGUGGCCCCGACGCCUUUGCUGAGGACUCCCAGGGGAGGUCGCGCCCUGUUCUCCUCUGACGCAGAAGCAGCUGCCCUCGCUGGGAACAUUCCGGAAGCCACACAAAAGCCUGACAAAGCGUGGAGUGAGCGAUGGGCGAGUCCCGGGUCAGUGACUGGGGCGGGCCUUCUCCUCACGCGAUGCUACCCGCCCACCCCGUGCCGGUGCCGCGCCGACAGCGAUGUCCCCGCCCGGCCUAACUGCUCCAGGUCCUCAGCCCGCACGGCCCGGCCCCGGGCAGCGCCUUACCCCAGGAGUGGCCUGCCGAGCAGCGUGAAGCCGUCUGCCCCAACCAGCAGGACCUGA